AAUCUCAAUUUUACGUCCUUCAAAUAGCUGCUAAAACUUUCAUUUCUUGGCACCAAUACCUUUCAAACAUGCUGAAUUCAUCCAUUUACUUAAUUUGCAUAUUGUUAUUUUACUUUUUAUACAAUAACAAUAUGGAAAUUAGGUAAAUGCACGAAUUAAACAUGCGCGAUAUAGGCAUUGCUCCCAAAGAAUGAAAGGUUCAGCGGCCAUUUAAAGGAUCCAAAAUUAAUAUU